rnacentral:rRNA from 1 species
UACAGAGGUCCCAAGCGUUGUUCGGAUUCACUGGGCGUAAAGGGUGCGUAGGCGGUCUGUCACGUCGGGAGUGAAAACUCAGGGCUUAACCCUGAGCCUGCUUCCGAUACGGGCAGACUAGAGGUAUGCAGGGGAGAACGGAAUUCCCGGUGUAGCGGUGGAAUGCGUAGAGAUCGGGAAGAACAUCAGUGGCGAAGGCGGUCUGCUGGGCCGUUGCUGACGCUGAGGCGCGACAGCGUGGGGAGCAAACAGG